rnacentral:rRNA from 1 species
UACGUAGGGUGCAAGCGUUGUCCGGAAUUAUUGGGCGUAAAGAGCUCGUAGGCGGCUUGUCGCGUCGGCUGUGAAAACCUAGGGCUCAACCCUGGGCCUGCAGCCGAUACGGGCAAGCUAGAAUUCGGUAGGGGAGACUGGAAUUCCUGGUGUAGCGGUGAAAUGCGCAGAUAUCAGGAGGAACACCGGUGGCGAAGGCGGUUCUCUGGGCCGAUAUUGACGCUGAGGAGCGAAAGCGUGGGGAGCGAACAGG